rnacentral:rRNA from 1 species
UACGUAGGGUGCGAGCGUUAAUCGGAAUUACUGGGCGUAAAGCGUGCGCAGGCGGUUAUGUAAGACAGAUGUGAAAUCCCCGGGCUCAACCUGGGAACUGCAUUUGUGACUGCAUAGCUAGAGUACGGUAGAGGGGGAUGGAAUUCCGCGUGUAGCAGUGAAAUGCGUAGAUAUGCGGAGGAACACCGAUGGCGAAGGCAAUCCCCUGGACCUGUACUGACGCUCAUGCACGAA